rnacentral:rRNA from 1 species
CGCUCUUUGUAAAAUUAUUUAUAUAUAAGGAGUUCUGCCUGCCCGGUGACGUUGUUAAACGGCCGCGGUAUUUUGACCGUGCGAAGGUAGCAUAAUCAUUUGCCCUUUAAAUGGGGGCUGGUAUGAAUGGCAAGACGGGGGUUAAGCUGUCUCUUUCUUAUAUCUUGAAUUUUAUAUUUUUGUGAAGAAGCGGAAAUAAAUUCGUAGGACGAGAAGACCCUAUCGAGCUUUAAUAAAAAUAUCAGUAAAAUUUAGUAAAUUUAAUAAUCUAAUAAAGUUAGUAUUACAAUUUUGUAAGUUAUUUGUUAAAAGUUAAGGUUUAGUGUGAUAUUGUAUUUUUGAUUGGGGUAAUCGUGGAGAAAAGAAAAUCUCCAUUAAGAUAGUAAAAAAAUUAUAAUUUUAUGAAAAAAAUAGAUGACCCGCUGAAUGAGCGAGCAAAGGAAUAAGUUACCGUAGGGAUAACAGCGUAAUUUUUUUGGAGAGUUCAUAUUGAUAAAAAAGUUUGCGACCUCGAUGUUGGAUCGGGAUUUCCUGGAGAUGCAGUAGUUUCCAAAGGUUGGUCUGUUCGACCAUUAAAAUCCU